ensembl:miRNA Mir3109 microRNA 3109
UGCCUGCUCCUGUAAAUGGAUGCGAUGGUUCCCAUGCUGUUCUGAGGCAGAGCUAGGGCCAUCUCAUCCAGAUACUGUGGAGAUGGUA